GAAAAUAUAAAGUGAAAUCCAACAAAAUGACUUCUCAAAGUUGUCAAUCUUCUUAUCUUUUUGGUGUUUUAUGUAUUAUUUUGAUUUUGCAUUCAGGUAAAGGGAGGAAUUUUUCUAUAUCUCUUUUAAUACAUUUUUAUUUUGAUGAAACAAUUUACAUUUAAAUUUAAGAAUUUUUAUUAUUUGUAUCUUUAGAAUUUUUUUUCAUAGAGAGAGAAAAAGAUUAGCUUUGGUUGUUAGAUCUACGUGAUUCACCAACUUUUGAUGAAGUAAUGAUAAUAUCGGGUGCAAAAUUUGAAAAAUAUAAAGAAACAACUUUGUGUGCAUAAUAACUUAUACAUUUUUUUGUUUCAGGAUCUGUUACUAGUUUGGACACUCCGGCUACACUAGAUUGCCCUUAUUGAAGAAAUGGACCACCAGCAGCAUGUUACGUAGAUACUUGUAAUUCAAAUUGUGGCACAGAAUGCCUUAGAAAGGGAUUUCAAAAAGGUGGACAAUGUUGGUUUCCGGGUGGUCAAGAUAAUUGUUGUUGUUUUAUUUAAGAAGCUACGGUGUAUCAUUCAUAUCAAUGAAAAAUAAAAGCUGCACCUUAAUUUGUGUUUGAAAAUUAGAAGCGGUAAGGAGUUUUUGUAAUGUUGGAAAUCUGUAAACCUCAAUUAUCGAUAAAUUCACUUUAAAAUGAAAAUAAAUUCUCACCAACAAUCUAUGUUACAAAUUAGUGCCAUAUUUCUUGGAUGAUAUGAAACAUAUGAACUCGUCAUAGAUUAAAAAAACAUUGAUAAGGAUUGCUAGUGUUUACAAUUGUCAUAAUAGUUUAAUACUAAAUAUUGAGAAGGAUCCAAAACUUAUCUAAUCAAAACUUUCAUACCCAAUAAAUAAUUGUUGAUGAAAAAAAUAUAAUCUAAUUUUAACAUAGGCAUAUUUUUUUGUUAUAAAUGUUGUAUUUUCUAUGCGUUUAGGUGUAAAUCAGUCGUUCGAGAUAGGAUUAAACUAAGAGUUGGAUGAGAGAUGGUGAAUAUCGUAUUACGUGAUGGACUACCCUAUUGGUUAGUACCACAAGAUAGUAACAAAAUAAAUAUGAUUAUGGUUACAUGAUACUAGUAGUGUUGUAGGGAAAACCUAGAUUAAUUAUGUUUGAGGUAGGAAAAUCAUGAACAUCCAAAGUUAUUUUAUAUGCUUAUAUUCGUGUUGAUUACUGAUAACCAGAAAGGCUUGUGAAGACCUUUCAAUUAACUGACUAUAAAACAUCUAGGGGAUUGAGAUGUCUAACUGCAUACACUAGGUAUAUAACCCAAAGUGGUUCCGGAAUCUCACAAAAUUUAGUAGAAUGUCGAAGAUCUCAUAAACUAGACUCGAAUGAGGGGACCGUUGCAAUUAGGGUGUGUAGGUUUAUAUAUAGGUGUAUGGGAUAACAUGUCCAUCUCAGUAGUGUAUGUGGAUCAUGUGACUAUCCUAGUCAUGAUGUAUAGUUUUGGCUCUAUACACGGAUAUCACGAGAUAUAGUUCUCAUGAGAUAUUUUAGGAUGAUAUGUGAUCCAUACGCUACUCCGGAUAGUUGACUAUUAUAUUUGUGGUCAAUGGCCUAUAAGUAUAGGAGUUUGUUGAACUCCUGAUUCGAUACUGAGCGUAUAAAUUUAUAAAUGCUUCAGUUCAUACGGGUGACAGUAGAAGAGAGUAAAUCUAGAUGAUAUGCUUAUAGGAGGACCCUUGUUGGUCAUGAGCCAUAUGCGUCAUAUAUAGACUGGUACGGUUGUUGACACUUCGUUUUAUUUGUUAGUGUUUUAGUUGGUCACAAUACAUAAACGCCUGAAUCGGGAUUUACGUAACACCAAAGCAUACCUAUCGGCUUGGAUAACAGAUUAUCUACAUAUCAAUUAGAGAACUGUGGUAGGAUAAGUAUAUUAUUUCAUUAUGUGAAUCUUGAGUGUUUAAAUAGAUAUCUAACGCCAAUGAGAUGAUCGUGAGGUGUAUAGUUAAAACUCAUUCGUGUGGGAUUGGGUUGAGAUAUCCUGAUAGAGUUUUCAAUUAGACCUUGACCUGGGUAGAAGGGUAGUCAGAGAUUCAAUUGUUUAUAUCAGAAACCUACUAAAAUUAGUAUCGCAUCCCAUGUUAUUGUAUUAUUUUGGAUUUAGCAGGUAAUUGAUUCGGACUCGAAACUAUGGACUUGGCAUCGGGGAUAUGAUGGAGUGUCUAUCGUUUAUGUUAAAGAUUUUGUUCGGUCAUUGAUAUAUUAUUUAUCCUAAUUCUAUUUUUGUGAAAAUUUUAUUCUGGCCCACUUCAAUAUAUUUCAAUUGAUGUUUUCCCGUACCAAUUAUUUAUACCACUGGUUAUUAUUCUAGACAUGUAACUAGUAGAUAUUACAUUAAUUAUGACUAAUUGACCUACUAUUUUCUUUUUUAAAAUUUAUUUUAUAAAAUAACUAUUGUAAUUAAUAUUUUUAUUUUAUUAUUGAACUAGUGAUCAAUAUUCAAUAAACACUCAAUGAAUAUUUGUAGGUACAGGAACAUAUGGUGACCCUAGUAUCAAUUUUGGAUCUUAAAUAAAAUAUUGUCAUAGUAAAACCACGAAGUUUUAAAAACAAUGACAAUUCUUAUUUUAACUAAUUAAUAUAUUUCUACCAUUAAUAUUACUUAUUAAUUAUAUUUGAAUAAUUAACAUAAUUUUCUCUUAAUUUUUAAAUUUUAUUAAUAUUUCUAUUCAAUUGUUUUUGACAUGUGCAUCUUUAAAAAGUCUUAUAAUAUAAUAAAUCUUCAAAAUAUGAUUAUUAACUUUGAAUGAAAUUUAAUAAAAUAAAAUAAUAAUAAUUUUUAUUUCCAUUUAAUUUUUUUUGUCUAUAUAAUGCAUAUCAUUUUAGUCUUGUAACACACAAGAAAAUAUAAGGUGAAAUCCAACAAAAUGACUUCUCAAAGCUGUCAAUCUUCUUAUCUUUUUGGUGUUUUAUGUAUUAUUUUGAUUUUGAAUUAAGGUAAAGGGAGGAAUUUUUUCUAUAUCUCUUUUAAUACAUUUUUAUUUUGAUGAAACAAUUUACAUUUAAAUUUAAGAAUUUUUAUUAUUUGUAUCCUUAGAAUUUUUUUUCAUAGAGAGAGAAAAAGAUUAGCUUUAGUUGUUAGAUCUACGUGAUUCACCAACUUUUGAUGAAGUAAUGAUAAUAUCGGGUGCAAAAUUUGAAAAAUAUAAAGAAACAACUUUGUGUGCAUAAUAACUUAUACAAUUUUUUUGUUUCAGGAUCUGUUACUAGUUUGGACACUCCAGCUACACUAGAUUGCCCUUAUGGAAGAAAUGGACCACCAGCAGCAUGUUGCGUAGAUACUUGUAAUUCAAAUUGUGGCACAGAAUGCCUUAGAAAGGGAUUUCAAAAAGGUGGACAAUGUUGGUUUCCGGGUGGUCAAGAUAAUUGUUGUUGUUUUAUUUAAGAAGCUACGGUGUAUCAUUCAUAUCAAUGAAAAAUAAAAGCUGCACCUUAAUUUGUGCUUGAAAAUUAGAAGCGGUAAGGAGUUUUUGUAAUGUUGGAAAUCUGUAAACCUCAAUUAUCGAUAAAUUCACUUUAAAAUGAAAAUAAAUUCUCACCAA
rnacentral:lncRNA from 1 species